AAUGGGUCAGCGACUUAUAUUCUGUAGCAAGGUUAACCGAAUAGGGGAGCCGAAGGGAAACCGAGUCUUAACUGGGCGUUAAGUUGCAGGGUAUAGACCCGAAACCCGGUGAUCUAGCCAUGGGCAGGUUGAAGGUUGGGUAACACUAACUGGAGGACCGAACCGACUAAUGUUGAAAAAUUAGCGGAUGACUUGUGGCUGGGGGUGAAAGGCCAAUCAAACCGGGAGAUAGCUGGUUCUCCCCGAAAGCUAUUUAGGUAGCGCCUCGUGAAUUCAUCUCCGGGGGUAGAGCACUGUUUCGGCAAGGGGGUCAUCCCGACUUACCAACCCGAUGCAAACUGCGAAUACCGGAGAAUGUUAUUACGGGAGACACACGGCGGGUGCUAA
rnacentral:rRNA from 1 species